ensembl:lncRNA
UCCUCCGGGAGGAUGUGGAAAUAGGUGAGGGCUCUCCGACCCCGACGGGCAGCCUGGUACCCGCAAGCGGCUUUCUUCCAACGGACGCCCCCAGAGGAUCCACGCACGUCUAGGGCAGGAGCGAGAACACAACAGAGGAGCGACGGUGGAAACAGAAAAUCCACGAUCUCCAUCUCCUUCAAAAUCGGCUACCAAAUAUUCUCAAUCGGAAAACUUCCUUCGUGAUCCUUCAUGGCUCAGUGUGUGACCCUAAACUGGAUCUCCUCAACGCUUAUUUAUUCAGUCUACUCUCUACUCUUUUGCACAUCUGGAAUCUUCCCAAGUUGUGAAGAGCCCUAUGGAGAAGUCCACGUGGCAAGGAACUGAUUUCUCUGGCUAACAGCCAGCGAGAACCUGAGUCUUGCCAAUGGCAAUGUGAGUGAGCUUGGAAGUGAAUCCUCCUAAAGUCAAGUUUUGAGAUGACUCAAGUCCUGGCCGACACUUUGAUUGUAGCCUUGUAAGAGACUGCGACCAGAGGCCAACUAAAUGUGUCUGGAUUCUUGACCCACAGAAAUAUAUUUUGCAAGUUCCAGAAGACUCCAUCCCACACAAGAUAGUGAAUCGAAGUGUCACAGAAGACUGAAUUUCCUCAGUAUUUCACAGUUACGGAAACACCUGUGCUAAAUACUUUUCUGUGUAUCAGCUGUGAGAACGCACUGUUCAAUAGCCCUCCGAAUUUCUCAUUUACUCCCUGUGGUGGGAGAUUCUGGGCUCCUCACAAUGGGUUACUGUUAAACACUUGGAAGAAUAGUGGUUCAAGAGCUUCAUAAUGGAUUAAAAAAAAAAAAGUACAAGCACAUUUCACCUACACUCCUUAUAGACACUCACCUCUAGCUCUUCCAAGAUGCCGCCUUAUCUGGAAAUUAAUUAAGCAGAAACUAGACGGGCACAAAUACCAUAACAUUCUGAAGCUUAAUUAGCAAAUGCUUUUUAACUUCACAACAGGUCUUAGCCUUGUUGGUUACUUUGUUUCUUAAGAGAGGAGAAAGCCAAGCGGUAUUAUUCUUUGCUUUCUUUCAGAGGAAACAAGCGUGGAAAUUUAAAAAUAGAUCAAGGGAUGCUCAGAGGGCAGCUCCCUAGCAACCCGGACUGCAUUGCUGGUAUGCUAACACGAGUAGCCUGCAUUCUGCCAGGUAUGUAGGCAAGCCACAUCCAUUGAUAGCAAAGACACGGAGGGAACAGAACAGGAACAAAUACAGCCAGGGAGGGGACACACACAGGUGCCAGAAAGAACACAGAUACUAUCCCAAGUCGCCUGUAGUCUGAUGAAUGGGGAGGCCAAUGACUGUGCUCAGCAAGUUUCUCAGUUGAACUCCUAGUAAGGCUUCCAGUCCAUCCCCCGGGGUCAAGCAGAGAGGCUGGAGGUGGGAGAGCUCUUGGUCAUCAAAGCCCCGUGAGAAGAGAAAUCAUUUGUGAAAUGUUUGCUGUUUGACAGUCAGAAAUCAUGGUUCUGCCUUUUCUUUACCAAAUAACAUAGGAAACAAUGAAAAGAUGGAGAGUUUAUUGAUAGUCUUUGUGCCUGGUGCCAUGAAGCUUGUUUUUGAGGCUCUGAUGUGAAGGGGAAAAAAAAUCCUGCAUGUCAUAUUGCUGCAGAGUACAGGCGCCCUGGUGCGCACCGUGAAAAUAUCAUAGAAGAAUAUGACAUCAAAUUGUCUGCCUACAAUGAUACCAUCUCUUAUUAAAAUAAAAAGAAGAAAGGUAUAGAGACUAACAAUGCAUCUCCUUUUCUCGCUCAGAUUUCACACAAGGGAAGUUACCUGGAUGUUCAAAAUGUUGAAACAUGUCUUUGUGUCAAAAGUGGAAUAAUUAAGCAUUCAGUGCUAGCCCAUUAACCAGAUGUGCCCCCCACCUUUUUUUUUUUUCUUUUUGGCUUGCUUUUUCAAGAAGACUUUCGAAGGAAAAUGUCAAGUAAAUUACUUCUAUUCAAAAUGGUUUUCCUUCCUCCCUUCUUUUCCUUCCUUCCAAGACAGCAGUGUCAAAUGUGUGGCCACUUUUUGUACAAACAAAUAUUUUUCUUUCUUUGACUUUUUUUAAAUAGUGAAAAAUAUAGCAAUAAAAAAGUAAAAAGAGAAAUACAAUGAACUUUCAGAUUUGUAUUAGUAAGCUUAAGGAAUAAAACUUCACAAAUGCUAUUGAAAUGCACGUUUUUACCUCCAACUAUAUUCCUUUGUCAAUACCCUUAGGGGUAACCAUUCCCCAGAACUUGGUAAUUAUCAUUCCCAAGCAUUUCUUUAUACCUUCAUUCUAUAUGUGUCUAUAUGUAAACCAUAUCAAUUGUCAAGUUUUCAAACUUGUGUGUUGUUGUAUUGUACAAUUUGCUCUUUUUAUUCUACAACUUGCUUUAUUUUAACUCAAAAUUGUGUUUCUGAGAUGUAUUCAUGUUAGUUCAUUUGUUUUCAGUUCAUAUACUGUCUGCUUGAAUAAAU